UACGUAGGGGGCGAGCGUUGUCCGGAUUUAUUGGGCGUAAAGAGCUCGUAGGCGGUUCGGCAAGUCGGGUGUGAAAGCCCUCGGCUCAACCGAGGAAGUGCGCCCGAAACUGCAGAGCUUGAGUACCGGAGAGGAUGGCGGAAUUCCCCAAGUAGAGGUGAAAUUCGUAGAUAUCGGGAGGAACACCAGUGGCGAAGGCGGCGACCUGGACGGAUACUGACGCUGAGGUGCGAAAGCGUGGGGAGCAAACAGGG
rnacentral:rRNA from 1 species